CCCUUAGAUGUUCUGGGCUGCACGCGCGCUACACUGAUACUUUCAGCGAGUCCACCACCUUGCCUGGGAGGGUGGGGUAACCUCUGGAAAGUGCAUCGUGAUGGGGAUCGAUUAUUGUAAUUAUUAAUCUUCAACGAGGAAUUCCUAGUAAGCAUGUGUCAUCAGCCCGUGCUGAUUACGUCCCUGCCCUUUGUACACACCGCCCGUCGCUCCUACCGAUUGAAUGGUCCGGUGAAAUCUUCGGAUCUGAGAGAUGUCUGAUUAAUUUCGGACGCCUUUUGGAAAAGUUGCUUAAACCUUACCAUUUAGAGGAAGGUGAAGUCGUAACA
rnacentral:rRNA from 1 species